AUUGAGCGCUGGCGGCAGGCUUAACACAUGCAAGUCGAGCGGGGUGAUGGUGCUUGCACUAUCACUUAGCGGCGGACGGGUGAGUAAUGCAUAGGAAUCUGCCUAUUAGUGGGGGACAACAUCUCGAAAGGGAUGCUAAUACCGCAUACGUCCUACGGGAGAAAGCAGGGGAUCACUUGUGACCUUGCGCUAAUAGAUGAGCCUACGUGGGAUUAGCUAGUUGGUAGGGUAAAGGCCUACCCAGGCGACGAUCUGUAGCGGGUCUGAGAGGAUGAUCCGCCACACUGGGACUGAGACACGGCCCAGACUCCUACGGGAGGCAGCAGUGGGGAAUAUUGGACAAUGGGGGGAACCCUGAUCCAGCCAUGCCGCGUGUGUGAAGAAGGCCUUAUGGUUGUAAAGCACUUUAAGCGAGGAGGAGGCUCUUUUGGUUAAUACCCAAGAUGAGUGGACGUUACUCGCAGAAUAAGCACCGGCUAACUCUGUGCCAGCCGCCGCCGUAA
rnacentral:rRNA from 1 species